UUACACAUGCAAGUCGAACGGCAGCGCGGGAGCAAUCCUGGCGGCGAGUGGCGAACGGGUGAGUAAUAUAUCGGAACGUGCCCAUUAGUGGGGGAUAGCCCGGCGAAAGCCGGAUUAAUACCGCAUACGACCUGAGGGUGAAAGCGGGGGAUCGCAAGACCUCGCGCUAUUGGAGCGGCCGAUAUCAGAUUAGCUAGUUGGUGGGGUAAAGGCCUACCAAGGCAACGAUCUGUAGUUGGUCUGAGAGGACGACCAGCCACACUGGGACUGAGACACGGCCCAGACUCUUACGGGAGGCAGCAGUGGGGAAUUAGGACAAUGGGUGUUCCGCCCGCCGCGCCCCGC
rnacentral:rRNA from 1 species